CAAACCGUUUUAAAUAAGGUGCUAAAGCAACAAAAAUAAAAUCAGAGUUAGUGGCCCACAAUAUGUUUGAAAAGGAUAUACUCGACAAGGAAGGACCAGUAUUUUGAAACUAAAAUUACAAAUGAUUAAAGCUGUCGUAGCUGUUUAAAUAAUUAAAUCGUUUCUAGCUACAUUUUUCUAUGUAGAUCAACAUACUCCCAAUGAGGUUAUACAGUUACUCGACAGAUCCAACACAGUAACCCGCUUAAAGGAAGCCUGCAAAAGAAAAAGUGAGAAAGUUAAUACUUUGUUCAAUACAAAAGGGAUCUCACAUUUAAUUUGCAAGUUGUAUGAAUGUGGCACACAAGGAAUCAAAAAACACAAACAAACAGAAGGGCUAAUAACAAAGCACCCUUAAAUUCGAACGGAAAGCUACUCACUGACACAAACAAGCACAAGGAUGUUGACUUCGAUGAAGAAACGUUAAACGUAGCCAUUUGCGGUAUAGUAACAACGUCCUAGAUUUGCCAAAAAAUGAGUUUAUCAAGAAAUUUAGAGUUAGCAAAGAGGUUUUCAAACAGAUUGCGAUCGCACCUAAAAUGCAGAAAAGACAUAGCCGCACCGCUGUACCGGAGAUGACGAAACUAGCUUGCUUCAUGAGAUCGCUUGCGGGAAACUAUCAAAAGAAUAUAGGAGAAAACUACACUACUUGUGGGUCACAACCAUUGACGUCACGAAUUAUUACCGAGUGCUUAGAUGUGUAUUUGAAAAUUACUUUUGUAGCAAAUGGAUAAAUUUGGAGAUGACAGUGAAGGAGGAAAAUAAAAGGAAGGAGGAUUUUUACAGAAAAACUAAGAUACUGGGUGUAGUUGGUUGCGUUGACUGUACACAUAUUAGUAUACAAUGUCCAAAAACCGAGGCGAAAUAUCUAUACAAGAACAAUAUAGGAAUUUACAGUAUAAAUGCUCUUAUAAUUUGUGAUGCCAACUUAGUUGUAAGAUAUGUCGAUGCAAUACACCCCGGUGAAAACGAAGAUUCCUUCGUUUGGGAAAUAAUCGCGGCAAAUGAGUAUUUCAAAUCAAUGUAUGACUCUGGAAAGAGACAUUUUUGGCUUAUAGGCGACUUAGGUUUUUAACUGCAACCAUAUCGAAAACCCUUUAGAAAGAUGCGAAGUUAGUUACAAUGAAAUCCUACUAAAAGCGCAUCGAAUUAUAGAGAAAUGUUCUUAAGUCAUAAAAAGUAGAUUUCGUUGCAUUUCAGGUGACCGAAAAUUGCACUACUUGCCAGGAAAAACAACGAAAUUAAUUAACGCUUGUUGUGCGAUUCAUAAUGCUUGCGUAUUUUAUAAAGAUGAUUUAUUAUUAAACUUGAAAUAUGCCGAUUUUGAAGACACAAAUUUGCACAGAAAUGAGGACUGCGACUUGGAAAUGGAUAUAUCAGAAGAAGCUAAUGACGUAAGACAAAGGUUGACAAAGUGUUUAAGGGAGCAUACUGAGUUCAUACCAAUGUAAAUCGGCUACAUAGUUCAAAUUGAUAUUGAAAAAAGCUAAUUUUAUACAUAUAUGUAUAUGUAGAUAUAUUUGAAGUUUUACGAAUAUGUUCUUAGUUUAAGGAUUGCUCUGUAAAUACAAAUCAUUUCCAUUCAAAAAAAUGGAAACAUUUUCCAACAUAUCUAAAUAUAAAAAAUCAAUUUAAAACAAAAGGUAUUAAAUAUAAAAUGAAACAAAAGUUCAGCUUAUAAUUCGGCCAUCCUUUCUAAAGCAAUUGCUUGACGUUCAAUAGUUAGUGUUUGAUUCGUCAUACAUAUGUUAACUGUUCUUCCAUCAACUGUUCUUGCCUUUCUAUAGCUUUUGCCAGUUUUUGUAGACAUAUACUUUGUCUGUUCAUCACUUCAGCCAUAUCCUGUGGAAAUAUUUCAAUUAUUGAGUUCUCAAUGUCAAUAUCUGUGAAGUGUAAUGCCUUCAAUAUCAGUUUUCCGUUGACUAUUUUAAAUUUCACAGCUUUGUCACAAAUGUAAAUAGAACCGAAAUAUAUAACUCGACAGAACGCAUUUGAUUUCAACGUAACUGUUUACGUACUUAGGCCCGGAACAGAAUUGCAGCGAGACAGCGGGUUAACGGGUGGUGAUUAGCUGAUCCACUUGCGUCAGAAAAUUCUUCGGUUAAACACAAAUGCGACGGGGGCGGAGAACGCAAUUGCGACAUUUCGUGGUUACAAUAAAAUUAUUUUUGUAGUGAAAUCUUUUCGUUUGCUAUAUUUGUGAACCAACUCGUUGAAGGUUUUGUUAGGAAAAAACAACGUCUGUUUAAAUUAUUAAUAAUUAUUUCUUGUGAAAAUUAUCAGCGGUUAUCCGUUAACCCGUUACCCGCUAUGCACUGCUAUUCUGUUUAAGAGGUAAGUUAAAGGUUGUUGGCAUUCUAUGUCAUUUCCUUAAGCUGGCCCCAAACAAUUCCCAGCGAUUUGUUGCAGUUCGGAGAAAAUUUAUCGUGUAUGGCGAAGUGCGGGCACAAAUCCCAAGUAAUUGAAAAUUUUCAUUUACUUGGGCUG